AUGAACGCUAGCGACAGGCUUAACACAUGCAAGUCGAGGGGCAGCGGGGGUAGCGAUACCCGCCGGCGACCGGCGCACGGGUGAGUAACGCGUAUGCAACUUGCCUAUCAGAGGGGGAUAACCCGGCGAAAGUCGGACUAAUACCGCAUGAAGCAGGGAUCCCGCAUGGGAUAUUUGCUAAAGAUUCAUCGCUGAUAGAUAGGCAUGCGUUCCAUUAGGCAGUUGGCGGGGUAACGGCCCACCAAACCGACGAUGGAUAGGGGUUCUGAGAGGAAGGUCCCCCACAUUGGUACUGAGACACGGACCAAACUCCUACGGGAGGCAGCAGUGAGGAAUAUUGGUCAAUGGCCGAGAGGCUGAACCAGCCAAGUCGCGUGAGGGAUGAAGGUUCUAUGGAUCGUAAACCUCUUUUAUAAGGGAAUAAAGUGCGGGACGUGUCCCGUUUUGUAUGUACCUUAUGAAUAAGGAUCGGCUAACUCCGUGCCAGCAGCCGCGGUAAUACGGAGGAUCCGAGCGUUAUCCGGAUUUAUUGGGUUUAAAGGGUGCGUAGGCGGCCUUUUAAGUCAGCGGUGAAAGUCUGUGGCUCAACCAUAGAAUUGCCGUUGAAACUGGGGGGCUUGAGUAUGUUUGAGGCAGGCGGAAUGCGUGGUGUAGCGGUGAAAUGCAUAGAUAUCACGCAGAACCCCGAUUGCGAAGGCAGCCUGCCAAGCCAUUACUGACGCUGAUGCACGAAAGCGUGGGGAUCAAACAGGAUUAGAUACCCUGGUAGUCCACGCAGUAAACGAUGAUCACUAGCUGUUUGCGAUACACUGUAAGCGGCACAGCGAAAGCGUUAAGUGAUCCACCUGGGGAGUACGCCGGCAACGGUGAAACUCAAAGGAAUUGACGGGGGCCCGCACAAGCGGAGGAACAUGUGGUUUAAUUCGAUGAUACGCGAGGAACCUUACCCGGGUUUGAACGCAUUCGGACCGAGGUGGAAACACCUUUUCUAGCAAUAGCCGUUUGCGAGGUGCUGCAUGGUUGUCGUCAGCUCGUGCCGUGAGGUGUCGGCUUAAGUGCCAUAACGAGCGUAACCCUUGCCACUAGUUACUAACAGGUGAUGCUGAGGACUCUGGUGGGACUGCCAGCGUAAGCUGCGAGGAAGGCGGGGAUGACGUCAAAUCAGCACGGCCCUUACAUCCGGGGCGACACACGUGUUACAAUGGCGUGGACAAAGGGAGGCCACCUGGCGACAGGGAGCGAAUCCCCAAACCACGUCUCAGUUCGGAUCGGAGUCUGCAACCCGACUCCGUGAAGCUGGAUUCGCUAGUAAUCGCGCAUCAGCCAUGGCGCGGUGAAUACGUUCCCGGGCCUUGUACACACCGCCCGUCAAGCCAUGGGAGCCGGGGGUACCUGAAGUCCGUAACCGAAAGGAUCGGCCUAGGGUAAAACUGGUGACUGGGGCU
rnacentral:rRNA from 1 species